GGAGCUCCUUGCUUCAGCCAUGGUAGGCUUUGGUUUGGCAGUGCGCCGCAUAGUUUAGGUCCUAGUGAAGCCUCUACAACCGCUUGAGGUUGUUAGUUCGCCAUCGGCGAGCUUUGCGCCAUCAGUAGGCCUAGCGCCGCCCGCACUGCCGCUGCCUUCCGCCGUUCGUCAUCGCCGUCCACCCAACCACCACUAGAGUACAGUCAGUAGGUGCGCUGAGUUAACUCGAGUCGAGUCGUGGUGUUCCCUUCGCCGGAGGCCUCGCCGGCACGAACCACCACGGAUACCCACCAGCAGACCCGUGGUCAAGGCCGGGAGGGUGGUCUAUUGACCGGGCCCACGUGUCAGAGAGAGGAGUUAGGGCGGGGGUGAGUAGGAAAGGUUCCAAAAGGGGGUUUUCAGGAGAAAAUUGAUUUAUAGUUUUAGAAAAUAGAUUUAAAUUCUUUUUGCAUAUUUAAUUCUUUAUAAUUUAUAGAAUUAUCCAAAGUUAGUGAAAUCAAUUUCAUUAGGUGUAUUUUAUUUUUUUACGCAUUAAAAAUUCUUAAACCCUAGGAUAAGGUAAUAAAAAU
rnacentral:lncRNA from 1 species